CGCCCACCGCACUCUUGUCCCGCAGGCUUCUCUAUAACCUCAUGCCUAAGAGCUCUGCUCUUCUCAAAACUUCCCUGGCGCCUGGGCCUCGGCCAACUGCUUCGCGUACCUAGGACUCCGUGCUAAGAUAACCGCUGGGUUAGAUGAGCGUUUACUAGGCGCUGCGGAGAGCUAGCACAGGUAUCUAGGCGAGUGGGGUGGCCAAAGCACACCAUUUAAACAGGGGAGGGGUAGAAAUUGAGUUAGAGUAAACUUUAUUAUUUCAGGGAUUUUUUUUUUAACCUCUUGUUGAGCAGUUCUAAACCUGUGGAUCACAGGGGUUCGCCUAAGGCCGUCGGAGAACAGAUAUUUACAUUGUGAUUCAUAACAGCAAAAUUAUAGUUAUGAAGUAGUAACACAAAUAAUUUUAUGGUGGGGAUCACCACAAUACGAAGAGCUGUAUUAAAGCAUUAAGGUUGAGAGCCAGUUGUUGAAUUAGUGGGUCCACCGACCUAUUCUAUCCACAAAUGAAGGGGGGAGGUGAUCCUGUUGGUUUUCCUCUUGCUCUUGUGCCUGGAAUUCUUUAAGUUCUUCCCAUCCUUCCCUAUUUCGGUGUCUGUGUAACAAACAUUGCCCUCCCUACCAAGACACUUAUUUAGCUUUAAGUACAAAGAUGCAACCAGACCGCCUACAACUCAAAGUCUCGGCUUUGCCACCAACUACGAUACCCGUUUCCUUGGGGUAGUUACCCUUAGUUCUUUCGUGUGUAAAACUGGGAUAAUAAGAGUGCCUCAAGGAGUCAUUAGAUAAUCAAUAUUUGUAACAUGCCAAGCACAAGCUAAGUGCUAUGUAAGAAUGAUGGAAAGUAUUGAAACAUGCAUAUUCUAUGUGUACACCUAUAUGUCUACUACACUUUACCUCGUUAUUAAAUAUUAAAUAAGACAUACCAAAUAAUGAUGUAAAUAUAUGGAGUAUUACAUUUUCUUCCUGCAGUCUGUGCAUUCCUGUCUCUUCCUGGGGUGUGUGCGCCCCAGUUUGGAAGCCAUUUAUUUAGACUCAUACUGGCAAAAGCCGCUACGCAGGUGUAUUGAUUAAAAUUUAAAUUUAAGAUCUGGUUCCUGCCUGACGCUGAUCACGUGACCACGAGACACUAGAGCUAUAAAGCACUCCCACCAUCUUGGAACGUUCUGUAACACAGCAAGCCAAAGUCACCUAAAGACAGUGGCCGUCCUGGUGCGGCCUGUCACUCCGGCAGCUGUUCAGACGGUAGGAUCCGCCCCUCACCCUCAUAUCACAGCUGUAACAUGAAGAUUAAAGAAGAUUAAAGAGACGGAUGGGUGGAGGAAAUAAUAGUGUAUGGAGUUUGGCAAAGGUCUAACACAUAGAGAAGCUUUAAAAAUAGCAGUGAAUUUUGAGUCUUAAUCAACUGAAUUCUAUAAGCCUGUAAGACCAAGUUGACUUGUUAAUUGUCCUUCAAUCAAAAGGGUUUUCUAGGGUGUCUGCUUUGGGGGUGAGAAGAGCUUGUGUGGUGGUUUGAAUGUGCUUGGCCCAGGGAGUGGCACUACUAGGAGGUGUGGCCUUGUUGGAGGAAGUGCGUCACUGUGGGGGUGGGCUUUGAGACCCAUCUCCUAGCCACUCAGAAGCCAGUCUUUUGUCUGCCGUUGUAUCACGAUCUAAAGCUUUCAGCUCCUCCUCCAGCCCCUUGUCAUGGAUGCUGCCGUGAUGAUAAUGGACUGAGCCUCUGAACCUAUCCUGAGUGAAGAUGUCAGACUGCCUGCCCCUCUGCUGACAUGCUCUGCUACCUGCGUGACCUCCAGCACAUACAUGAACCUCAGCGUCAGUUUGGUCAUCUACAGGGUUAUCACAAAGCUGAGCACAGGGACAGGUACGAGUGUGAAGUGUGUCAUGCCUCGCAGAGAGGAGCCAGAGGACAGCUUUCAGGAGUUGGUUCUUCCUUCUUGGUUCUUGUACUGGGAAGAACUGAGCUUCAGAUCAGACAGCCGGGUUGAAACUGGG
rnacentral:sRNA from 1 species